rnacentral:lncRNA from 1 species
GAGGAAGUGCCGAGCCAGGGUGACCUGUGGGCGUCCUCCUCGAGCUCCGGGCGACACCGGCGGUAUAGCUUGGGACGCUAGACUAGGGAAUGCCCCGUAACAGGUGCUCUCCGUUUUGUAAGAAUUCCGAGGGUGAAGUUUGGGCGCGACUGUGUUUGAGGUGCUUCAGAUUUGAACAUCUAUUGAGCGCCUACUGUGUGCCACGCAUAGGGGUAUACUUAUGUCAUGUUGAAAAACCUCAGCACCAAGAGGUUUUGAUCCUCUUGGUGCUGAGGAUCCAGGAAGUCGGCUUGAAAAUGUGAGAUUACUAGUAAUUUCUGUGAAAGUGGUUAGUCGUGGGAGCCAUAGAGGAAGGUUGGCUUUCUGAGGUGGACAUUUGCACACGAUGGCAUAGACAGCACAGGGAAGGUCAGCAGAGCCCUUUGUGGCAGAAUGGUUGAACAAAGUACGGCUAAACAGGAAGUGUGUUUUAUUAAAAGAUAUUGGGGAUAAGUUGUGCGACCUUGGACAAGUUAUUCAGCCCCUGUAUGGCGUCUGUGAAAAGGAUAGCAUGUUUGCAACUUCAUGGCGGUGGUGUUUGAGGACGGAGUUGUAUUUAAGCAAGCUGAUUAAUAAUUUAUUUUCUUCUGUAUUGGGAAUUGAGUCCAAGAUCAGCCUUCCACCUCCCCUAUGCAUGCUGGGCAAGAGGUUUUUACUACUGGGCUAUAUUGCCAGACUGUUUUUCAUUUUUAUUUUGGGACAGGUUCUCACUAAUUUGCCCAGGCUGGCCUUGAAUUUGCCGUCUGUAUUCCAUCUGCCCAAUAACUGGGAUUACAAAUGUAAGACGCUACCAUGCUAGAGCAUGUCAACUCACCCAGUUCUGGGAUGCCUGGAAACAUUCAGGAAAUAAACUAUAUGACCCCUCCGAGGUCCCACCCAGCUAGAAACAGAACAUGUCCUUUGCCCUUGUGAGUUCAGUGAGCUUUUCCUUACAAUAGUCUGCUACACAGAUGCUUAAGGCGUAUUUUUAAUGACUGUCAUUGAACCAGAUCUUUUGGUGGUAUUUUAGAAUGGUCGAAUCAAUUAGAAACCCACUUUAAUUUAACAGCAAAUGGGGUUUACUGAGGUCUACUCAGCUCUGCCUCCAUUAUGAUGCCUCCUAACCCACUGCCCUUCAGGUCUUGAAUGUGAUCUUUAUUUUAGAUGGAGAACCUGUGAGUAAGUCAUGGUUGAUUUUGUUUGUUUGUUUGUUUGUUUGUUUUCGAGACAAGGUCUCUCAUAUCCCAGAAUUCUGGCCUUGAAUUUUGUUAUGUAGUUAAGUCUGGCUUUGAACUCAUUCCUCUCUCUUCUACCUCCCAUGUGCUGAAUUACAGGUGGGAGGCAUCACACUGGCUCUGUUAUGUGUAUCUAGAGAAAUAAGGCAGAAUGCUGAAAAUGGAGAACAGAUAACUGUCACCGUGUGAUGCCUAACACUGACUGUCAACUUGGGGGGAUCAGAAAUCACUGAAUAGACAAGUUCAAGGUGUACCCAUGAGGGAUUGGCUUCAUUUUAAGAUGACUAAGGUGGGAAGAUUCACCCCAAGGCUGAGUAGGACGAUUUUUUAGGUUUGGGUCCUGGACUGAAUAAAAACGACAAAGCCAGUUGAACACCAGCAUUCCUUGUUCUGGUUUUUUUUUUUUCCCUAAAGACUUAUUUAUUUUAUGUAUAUGUGUACACUGUAGUUGUGAACCUUCAUGUGGUUGCUGGGAAUUGAAUUUAGGACCUCUGUUCACUCUGGUUGGCUCUGCUCAUUUAUUAUUAUAAAUAAGUGCACUGAAGCCGUCUUCAGACGCACUCAUUACAGGUGGUUGUGAUCCACCAUGUGGUUGCUGGGAAUUGAACUCAGGACCUUUGGAAGAGCAGUUGGUACUCUUACCCACUGAGCCAUCUCGACAGCCUCGUUGUUCUUUUUCUUGACUGUUGGUGUGGUGUGAGUGACUGCUUCAAGCACCCAGAGUGACUUCUCCAUGACGACUGUGCCCUUAAACUGUAGCCAAAAUAACCCUUGUCUCCUCUGCCUUCAGUUGCUCCUGUCAGGGUAUUUUAUCACAGCAAUAGGAAAAGAAACUCAGGCAGUUGGGCAGCAGUCCUUUGAUUGAAGAUUUAGCCAUCACAGUACAGGUAAUAACCACUCAAGGACAGUCUGACAGUUGUAGCUGAAUAAACUUGGUUUUUAAUUUUUAUGUGAUUUCUAUACAUGGUGAUUCCAUAGGCAGUAUCUGUGGCUGGGUGUAAAGAGAUGCACUUGGAGUCUGCACCCAGUUGGAGGGUGUGACAAGGGACAUGCUGGAACUCAGGAAUUUGAGCACCUAGCAGCCAUAUCUCCCCACUAUACUAAAUGAUGUGACGAAUAAGAUGUAGACAGCACUGCCUUUAUAGAUGCCCACCCCAUCCUGCCCCCAACCCCAAUCUGAAGCAUUGACCAGGGGCUGGGUGCAAUCCCCAAUAGUUGGCAAGAGAGAGAGAGAUUGAAUCUCAUCGGUCCUCUAAACCGACUGAUCAUUUCC